CAUUCACCGUAAGAAGUUGAGUGGCGGACGGGUGAGUAUCACGUGGGUAACCUGCCUAAAAGAAGGGGAUAACACUUGGAAACAGGUGCUAAUACCGUAUAUCUCUAAGGAUCGGCAUGAUCCUUAGAUGAAAGAUGGUUCUGCUAUCGCUUUUAGAUGGACCCGCGGCGUAUUAACUAGUUGGUGGGGUAACGGCCUACAAGGUGAUGAUACGUAGCCGAACUGAGAGGUGAUCGGCCACAUUGGGACUGAGACACGGCCCAAACUCCUACGGGAGGCAGCAGUAGGGAAUCUUCCACAAUGGACGCAAGUCUGAUGGAGCAACGCCGCGUGAGUGAAGAGUCUUCGGAUCGUAAAACUCUGUUGUUAGAGAAGAACACGAGUGAGAGUAACUGUUCAUUCGAUGAGGUAUCUACCGCAAGUCACGGCUAACUACGUGCCAGCAGCCGCGGUAAUACGUAGGUGGAAGCGUUA
rnacentral:rRNA from 2 species